UACGUAGGAGACAAACGUUAUCCGGAGUUACUGGGCGUAAAGAGCGUGUAGGCGGUCCGGUAAGUCCGCUGUGAAAGUCGGGGGGCUCAACCCUCGAAUGCCGGUGGAUACUGUCGGGCUAGAGUGCGGAAGAGGCGAGUGGAAUUCCUGGUGUAGCGGUGAAAUGCGCAGAUAUCAGGAGGAACACCUAUUGCGAAGGCAGCUCGCUGGGACGUAACUGACGCUGAGACGCGAAAGCGUGGGGAGCAAACAGG
rnacentral:rRNA from 1 species